CCAAAGAACAUACCAGAACCUGGUUCAAGUAGUCAACAGAAGGUUUGUAAGUAAGUGCUGAAAUAACAGCACUCUGUUCACUAUUUGUAUUACUCUGUUUGACUUUGUUUGCCCAUUCCAGAGAAAAUUUGUACAUUUUGCCAGUUCAUGUUGACAAGUGUCUUCAUAAGUGAGUUUAACCAGUUCAUUCAAAGAUGCAAAUUCAUUCUGAAACAGUAUAAGGAAGUGACUUUGAGUAAGUGAAUCAUUAACUCAUCUAAUUAGAAAUACUUUGUGUCUCUUAUAUUUCCAGCGUCAACGUAAUAGAAUUGAUGUAGACACUCUGCGAGCACUAAUUGAAAGCAAAGGUCUGAGUAUAUUGAAGGAUUAUGAAGCUUCAGGAAUGCUUUCAGAGACAUCAAGAAAAGUCCUUGUGAAGAUAGGUGUCAGUGCGUUGGUGGAACAAAGUGGAUUUUACCCUUGUAAUGAUGAGAAGCGGAUGUUGGCAGAAAGUGUAGUAACACUGUUUCCUUCUCUGAAGAUCAAGAUGGGAGAAGAGAAUGAAGGAUUUGAACAUUUCUAUGACCCAGUCUCCCACAGUGGAUUUAUUGAGAUGAGACUUAGAAAUCUACGGAGGAAACUUUGUGAUGAUCAGCGUCGUUA